GCUGCCUUUGUUCUGGACUCAGACACAACAAGCCCUGGGAACCAAGCUGAAGGGCCUGCUAGCCCCCAGCCCAGAGCCUCCGGCCCCUUCAGGAACUCAUCGUGCUUUCGGCAGCCCCAGCAAGUGCCCCCAAGCCCUUCUUGGCCUGUUGGGCGGCCUGCCUGGAGUGGGGCGGGAAGCGGUUGGGAGGGAGCAGCAGAGGAGCCCUGGUCUCCCCCAGCCAGGCCUCCUGCUGGGACCCCUGCCAGCUGCUCCCCACCCCGGCCUUGGCUCCAGGCCUGGCAACCCCCAUUCCUCCCCUUCACACUCUCAUGGCUGCAAAAAAAGCCGGGGGAGGCCCCAUUCAAGCACAGCCUCCAAAGUACACCUGGAGACUCAGGACCUGGGGCGCCCUCAAUCCCUGUGGGCCUCAGUUUCCCCCAGGAAGACAGACCCAGAAUAGAGAGGGAUCUUUUUGGAUGGGGUGGGAGGCGGCAUGUGUGCGCUUCCUGUGAGGCCUGGCGGGCUGUGGGUGAUCUUGGCAGGCAUCCAGCUGUCCCAGGCUCUGGGGGAGGAGGCCAGGUGGGGGUGGCAGGCCGGGAGCCCCAGGGAAGGAGGUGGAUCACCCAUGCCUCCCUAGGAGCGGCCUCCAUACACCCCGCCCAGAGAGGCUGGACCCACAGGGGAGUGGCCUCUGAGGAGCAGCUGGGCUCCCUGCUGGAGUGGGGCAGGCUUGUGUCGGGUGGUCGUCCCCCUACCCUUCACCCAAAGGCGCUCUGGGACAGGCCCUUGGCCACCUCCCAAGGCUUGGGCCUCCGUCUCCGUAGAACGAGGGGUUUCUGGACUGCCUCCCGGUUGCCUGGGCACGGCUGGGCUCCAGCACUUCGGGUCCAUGGAAUUUUGGGGGCUGCCCAGCCCACCCCACUGUCUUCACCUGUGUCCUGGGUUGUAGGAGGGACUUCAGACCCCAGACUCCAGAACCUACACCCAAGACCUCAAAACCUAGAUCCUGGAAUCCCAGUCUCCAGAACCCCCAACAGAAACCUGGACCGAAAACGUUCCCCGGAGCUGCUCAGGGCCAUGUGGGGCCUUUCCAUCCUUCUGUGA
rnacentral:lncRNA from 13 species